GAUGGGGUGACGCAGGAGGCUAGUCGGACCCGCGCGUUGGAGUUGACGCGGGCCAAGCCAGUAGGCGGAGGGGAUAGGCAAAUCCGUUCCCUCGUCAACGCCGAGAGGUGAUGGGGAGGCCGCAAGGCCGGAAGUCGACGAUGCCACGCUGCCGAGAAAAACCUCGUUUCGGAGUUCGGAGGGCGUCCGUACCGUAAACCGACACAGGUAGUCAAGGAGAGAAUCCUCAGGCGCUCGAGUGAAGCGUUGCGAAGGAACUCGGCAAAUUAACACCGUAACUUCGGAAGAAGGUGUGCUUGCGGUCGUGUAGGGGCUUGCCCCCGAGGCGAACGCGAGUUGCAAUAACCAGGCCCAGGCGACUGUUUAGCAAAAACACAGGACUCUGCAAAGUCGAAAACGACGUAUAGGGUCUGACGCCUGCCCGGUGCUGGAAGGUUAAGGAGAGGGGUCAGCGCAAGCAAAGCUCUGAACCGAAGCCCCAGUAAACGGCGGCCGUAACUAUAACGGUCCUAAGGUAGCGAAAUUCCUUGUCGGGUAAGUUCCGACCUGCAUGAAUGGCGUAACGAUCUGGGCACUGUCUCCGCAACGCGCUCGGCGAAUCUGUACUCCCGGUGAAGAUGCCGGGUACCCGCACGUAGACGGAAAGACCCUGUGCACCUUUACUACACCCUGGCCCUGAACUUUGGUGCUGUCUGCGCAGGAUAGGUGGGACGCUUUGAACCUGGGGUUUCGGCCUCGGGGGAGCGGACGGUGAGAUACCACCCUGACGACACUGGAGUUCUAACCUAGGCCCGUCAUCCGGGCCGGAGACACGGUCAGGCGGGUAGUUUGACUGGGGCGGUCGCCUCCUAAAAUGUAACGGAGGCGCUCAAAGGUAUGCUUAGGCGGAUUGGAAACCCGCCGUCAAGUGUAAAGGCAGAAGCAUGCUUAACUGCGAGACGGACAGGUCAAGCAGGUGGGAAACCAGGACUUAGUGAUCCGGUGGUUCUGUAUGGAAGGGCCAUCGCUCAACGGAUAAAAGGUACGCCGGGGAUAACAGGCUGAUCUUGCCCAAGAGUUCACAUCGACGGCAAGGUUUGGCACCUCGAUGUCGGCUCAUCGCAUCCUGGGGCUGAAGCAGGUCCCAA
rnacentral:rRNA from 1 species